AUGCUUUGGUAAUUGCUACAUGUAUUUGCAUGUAGAGGAAAGUCCAUGCUCGCACAGGCUGCGAUGCUUGUAGUGUUCGUGCUUGAUGAAUUCAUAAAUCUUGGGAGUUGUCUUGACAACUUACGGCAGGGAACAGAGCUAAGUCAACACUGAUAUGCUCUUAUUACCUUUAAAGUGCCACAGUGACGUAGUCAAAGUGGAAACAUUUUGAGUGGAACGCGGUAAACCCCACGAGCGAGCAACCCAAAUUACGGUAGGGGCAUCUUGGAUUAGGGAACUGAACCGAAACAAGGGCUAUCUUUAUGAUAGCAGAUAGAUGAUUACCACUAAGGUACGAGGAUGACCACCGCUUGUAGUACUUUAGGACAGAACAUGGCUUAUAAAG
rnacentral:RNase_P_RNA from 1 species